UCUAUAGUGAGAAAUAAAUAAGAACAACGAUUCGCGAAAAAAAUCUCCCGCGAGAUUUCUUUUCUGAAUUCUCAGCAUCUUACUUCAGUAUAAAUAAACAUAGCAAUGGGUAUCAAUAAUCUUCUUUCUACAAUCUUUCUCUUCUUUAUAUCUAGUGUUUCAAUUUCAACUUCAACGCACCUUCUUUCAAGAUCUUUUUGUGAUUUCAAGUUUAAGGACUAAUGGAUAAGGAAAAGGUUCCUAUUAGCAUUGUGGUUAUUGGUCAUGUCGACUCCGGGAAGUCAACCACUACUGGUCAUUUCAUCCACAAACUUGGAUGUAUUCACAAGAGUGUCAUCGAGAGUCUUGAGAAAGAAGCUGCUGAGAUGAUCAAGCGUUCAUUCAAGUAUGCUUGGGUGCUUGACAAGCUCAAGACUGAGCGUGAAAGAGGUAUCACAAUUGACAGUUCUUUGUCGAAGUUUGAGACAAACAAGUACAGCUGCACUGUCAUUGAUGCCUCCGGACACAGGGAUUUCAUUAAGAACAUGAUCACCGGGACGUCCCAAGCUGAUUGUGCUGUUCUCAUCAUUGAUUCCACUACUCGUGGUUUUGAAGCCGGUAUUUCAAAGGAUGGUCAGACUCGUGAACAUGCUCUUCUUGCCUUCACUCUUGGUGUGAAUCAAAUGAUCUGUUGCUGCAACAAGGAUCAUGGUUGGUCUUCCUUCUGCUGAAAACAGGGAAACAAUCUUGAAAACUCUUAUAGCUAAGGAUAAACAUGAAGAUUUAGACUUCAAAGAGCUUUCAACUAUGACAGAAUUAAGGAUACAGUGGAAGUGAUCUUAAGCAUAUCGCCCCCUUAAGGAGCUAAUACAACAGGAGAAAGAAAAAGAAAUGAAAAAGGUAGAAGAAGUUGAAAUCUUAGAUGAUGCUUCCAAUGCUACCGAUGAAGAUAAAGUAGAUCAAGUAACUGCAAGUUUUGCUGCAGAAGGAUCAACAAUGAGCAGGUUGAAGGAGUGGAAUGAUUUGUAUGGAGAAGGAGGUUCAAAGGAAGAAAGAGGAGAAGCUCAGUUAUUUUUUCUUUAGAUUGUGGAAAGCCAGUUUUUUUCUUUUGGUACAAAGGAGGAUAUUUUAACCAAGGCAUUAAUCAUUUAGUAGAGAUAUUUGAAGUGCUAGAUUUUUGAAGAAAUCCAAUGGGAAUAGAUUUAUUAAUCCCAGGGCAACAUUAAUCAUGUUUGGGAGAAUCUUGAGUUUGUGUUACAAUGUGUGGAAGUAUUCUAUGAUUGUU